rnacentral:rRNA from 1 species
UACGGAGGGGGCUAGCGUUAUCCGGAAUGAUUGGGCGUAAAGGGUCCGCAGGUGGCGUUGUAAGUCUGCUGUUAAAGAGUCUGGCUCAACCAGAUAAAAGCAGUGGAAACUACAAAGCUAGAGUAUGGUCGGGGCAGAGGGAAUUCCUGGUGUAGCGGUGAAGUGCGUAGAUAUCAGGAAGAACACCAGUGGCGAAGGCGCUCUGCUAGGCCGUAACUGACACUGAGGGACGAAAGCUAGGGGAGCGAAUGGG